AAAUAUGACGAGAACAGAGUAGUCGCAUUCUAGUUCAUAGUCUACGAUGGCGAGAUUUAGUAAGCGACGAUAACUAACCGAGCUAAUUUCUAAAUAAAUUCGACGUGUGCGAGAAAUGUACAGAAUAUACAGACAGAGAUGCACUUACGCGUAUAAAUAGAAAAUAUAUUUCCGUCCAAGUUUCAUUUAAUCGCCCGAUACUUAUGGACUUACGAGAGCAGCUUGGUUUGGAUUAGAAUUUUAGAAAACGAAGCUACAAACCGAUAUCCAGUGGAUAGCUUAACGUAGGUAAAAAGUUUGGUUUUCCUGUUCGUUGCAUUUGAUUAUCCUAAGAUUCGAUGGCUGAAGCGAUCGUGUAGCGAAUGAAAGACGACGUUCCGCUGUUGGAACAGACCUUGUGAAAUAAAAUAUUUGUUUCCGGUAAGAAGGAUCGUCGACGUGUUCUACCGCUGUAGGUGCUCCUUGAUACCUGACGUCUCUAAGAGGAUUACGUAUUACCCGCGAAUUCGAGGAGGAAACAAAAUGGACUUUCGGUUUGGUGCGAGGCAAGGGUAACACGUGGACGGGGUGCUCCGUAGAAAAAGUGAAGUGUGAGGGGAAAAAGGAAAGGAAAGCACGAAGUAACACGAAGAGAGGAAAGAUAAAGUGCAAACACACGAGGAGGAAAGAAGGAAAGAAAGAUGGUAACUAAAUACCGUGACAAAACCAAACAGACAGAAAACUACACGCUUCUUUGAUUCUACUACUUGUCUAUCCGAUGAAUAUACGUAUUGUAACCUGAAUCCUGGCCAGUGAUGUUCAAGAGACCGAGCAGCUGAUCCAUCAAGUUUCGUGAUUCCUUUAUCGAAACGAAGAGAAAAGCGUGCAGAGGGUUAUAGGCACAGAUACUUGUUAAAUAUAAUGGGUUAUCCCACGAGACACCGUGUACGGACGAGAUUCGACACACCUCCAAUUCGCUGGUGUCCAUUCGCUUCCGGAACCCGCCUACGGUGCAAUGCCAAAACAACCUCGAUGCUAUUGUCUAUCGCAAUAACGUCGCGGUGAUUGAUGGAUCUGCCGCGUCUCUCCCAUAUAUCGUUGUACGAAUCACAGACAUUUUCUAUGUUAGAAAGACGUAGGAGCUGGAGAACGCUACGGCAGCAUCGUCCCGGUACGAAUUUUUCUCAAAAUAUAGCACUGGAAACCAGGUAACGAAUCUGACCAGUUUUGCCAAAAUACUUGGUUUCCUAUCGAUCGGAUCCAGAUGAAAACAUGCAUUGUCGUUACUUUUACGACUGUGUAGGUACCUAUUUUACCUGUGUAGGUACCAUACCCAGGAAAAUUAGUCUUCUCUCCAAGAUUUCGUUCACGGUACGAUAAACCGUGCAACGUGUUCCCAUCGUCGUCUACCAAAACGACGACGAAUAUACAAAAAUCUACGGUUGUUCGUACAGUUGUACUCUUCGCUAUGAAUAUUUGCGAAAAUUAAUUUGGCUAACUGACAGCAAGCAACCGACAAUUAUUCGCAUCGAAAGUAUCGCGUCGUAGAACGUACGUAGAGCGAGAAAUCUGAAAGAAUGUCGGAGAAAAUUCAUCGGUAUUGGAUCCAUGGCAAAUCUUCCCUCGGGAUAACUCGAGUUUCUCGAAGGAUAGAUAAUUCAGGGCGGAAGAGUCCAACCUCCUAGACCGUGUGCUCGUCGGUUUGCCCUUGUAACGAAUUCUAGCGCGAGAAAAGGCGCGGACGUUUCAAAGGAUCGAGCCUGGCAAUGAUCGAGAGUGAUGUAUCGAUCUUGGUUCGUGCCACGCGUUCGCUUGCAGUCGCAUCGAGCCACGGUUCUCCAUCUUCCUGAAAAGUCAAACAGACUGUUGCAAGCUUGUUCGUGUACGCCAGCCCUCCUCCCUUUCGUCGUUUUUCCCGAUAUUCAAAAUGUAUAAUGUGGAUUUAAGAAUCCCAAGGGGCGCAUCGAUCGACGGGUUUCCAGUUAACUUUUUCCAAGCUGAAAAACUUGUAUUUUCGCAUAAUUUAACUUACCUAAAACGGCAAGGUUACUUGUACAUUGAAAUUAUCACCAUUCUGACGCACUGUUUUCGCAAUGUCGGGUUUUCAUUAGAGUUGGGGACGUAUAAUGGAUCUUCGCGUGAAUUGACCGUCGUUGUAAUGUACUAGGGAUGAUAUUUACCGAUACAAACGUGAUUAUUACAGAGUGUGACAAGUAAGAACUGCGAUCGGAUGAUCGAGAUGUCGAUGACAAUGAAUUUAGGUUCGAUAAGGAAUCCACGGCCAAGGGGAUGACGAAUGCCAUGUGAUACACGAUCCUGGUGUGACUUAACGUACAAGUAGAACUUAUCCGAAUGAACUGAAUCGCAGUCCAAGUGGAACUGCCCUUAUAUAUUCCUCUCCGUAUCUCACGGGUCAAUCUUUGUUUUUAAGGAGAGCUAUAUAAUUAUUGCAUACCUGUGUUAGGUACACGUCCUUCCCGUGACCGUGGCUACGUUCGGUGACUCAUUAUGUCAUCUCGAGCCCCCAAGCCCAUCGUUAUAAACCUCGGGCACCCAUACUCGGAUUAGAAGAUAAACAACUAUUCCUCAGUUUUAUUAUUUAAGUGCAGCUAUAAUAAAAAGUCUUGACCAAAGUAUCGGGAACCUUCCCAAACGUUCCAAAAGAAAGGCCCCGAUGUCCUUUCAUCUCCGACAUAUACAGAUAGAUAGAUAGAUGUUCACUGUUUAAACGUUUCGCGCCUUUCGUAAGAUUGGAUCGGAUCGAUGAUCUUAUCCGGUUUAACGCAAAUUCAGAUCAUCGAGUAAGUGUAUAGUUCGUUGAAAUUAUUCAUUUGAAAAACGGUGUAUUUAACAAAGGCAUUGGAAAAGAUCAAUUUCUCGAUCGACAUUAGGGUAAAAGGCGGACUUUAGCGAACGUAAAGUCAGGUAGAUGAAAAUUGGAGGAAACCGUUCGGAAAUUUAUUAUCGAAAAACGGUCCGACCUUCGACAUCAAUGGAUCUGAAAAUUGAACUUAAACGCAGUUCGGGCCUACGAGGGGGAAAAAAUCGGUAAUUUCGUCGAAAAAUCGGUGCAACGGCUGUACCGGCUGAUCCGUACACCUGAAUUACGUUCUACAGAGCGGAGGCUAAAAUUUUUGGACAAAAAACCUCAAUCGCCGAACCAACCACCCGUUUGAUUACACGUAAUGAUCGACAUUUGAUUCUGGAAUAACCGCGGAUAAGGUUACACGUACGGGGUAGUCGAAGAGCCCUUCAGCUUUUGCGCGGAUUGAUUUAUGAAAGUUGCCAACUGAAAUGAUUUCCGCGAAAUUUUUUUCCCCGUUGAAAUUAUAAAAGUUAGAGGCGACAGUCGUGCUAACGAUAAAGCGACGGAAAAACGAAACGCAGAUUUUUUUUUUUUUUUUUUAAUUACGCGCAACGCAAAGUACCGUCGAAACACGGUUUCGUCCGUCGAUUUUGAUUUUCGAUAAUUAACAUAAUUAGUAGUGGAUGCGAUGAGAAAAUAAUUGUAAUCGACAGACCGAGACAGACGAAACAUCGGUCGCAACGGAUCGUAAUCCCAGAAACGAGAUUAUUCGAAACAUUUUAUGAUUGAAGCGUAAACGUCUUUAAUUCCAAUAGGAAAGAAUUACGCGCCACGUAAUUGCGUCAUUACCCGAUACUAACUUUUACGAUAUACUCGGAAUAAUUAUUUUAUAUGUUUAGCACGGUUAACGCUUUACUCGCUCGUUUAAGACACAAACGAUACUCUAGAGGCGGAAUUCCAAUACGAUUUCUUCCUUUCUUACGAGCGUAAAUCGUACAAAACUGUAAUUAUAUCACGUUACGUAACAACGUGUAGCAUCGUAGUUUCGAAUUCCUCGAGUUUACAGUUUCCUACGAGUGGCUGAACCCGAUAUCUUUCGUUUAAAUAGCUGCUUUUAUAUACUUGUUUCUCUUUAAUGCUACCCGUUAUUAUACCUAAAACAUGCGUUUCACCGCUUAUUUAUUUUACGAUGCAAGAUUAGAGCUGCUCUAUCCCUUGAUUUCUGUAAAAUAACGAAACUCUAACAAUUACCAUGCGAUAUGGCAUAAUGUAAUAUUUUAU